rnacentral:rRNA from 1 species
UAUUGCACAAUGGGGGAAACCCUGAUGCAGCGACGCCGCGUGAGUGAAGAAGUAUUUCGGUAUGUAAAGCUCUAUCAGCAGGGAAGAAAAUGACGGUACCUGAUUAAGAAGCCCCGGCUAACUACGUGCCAGCAGCCGCGGUAAUACGUAGGGGGCAAGCGUUAUCCGGAUUUACGGGGUGUAAAGGGAGCGUAGGUGGCAUGGUAAGCCAGAAGUGAAAACCCAGGGCUCAACUCUGUGGAUUGCUUUUGGAACUAUCAAGCUAGAGUGCUGGAGGGGUAAGCGGAAUUCCUAGUGUAGCGGUGAAAUGCGUAGAUAUUAGGAGGAACACCGGUGGCGAAGGCGGCCUGCUGGACGACAACUGACGCUGAGGCUCGAAAGCGUGGGGAGCAAACAGG